rnacentral:rRNA from 1 species
AGUGAACGCUGGCGGUAGGCCUAACACAUGCAAGUCGAACGGCAGCACAGUAAGAGCUUGCUCUUACGGGUGGCGAGUGGCGGACGGGUGAGGAAUACAUCGGAAUCUACUUUUUCGUGGGGGAUAACGUAGGGAAACUUACGCUAAUACCGCAUACGACCUACGGGUGAAAGCAGGGGAUCUUCGGACCUUGCGCGAUUGAAUGAGCCGAUGUCGGAUUAGCUAGUUGGCGGGGUAAAGGCCCACCAAGGCGACGAUCCGUAGCUGGUCUGAGAGGAUGAUCAGCCACACUGGAACUGAGACACGGUCCAGACUCCUACGGGAGGCAGCAGUGGGGAAUAUUGGACAAUGGGCGCAAGCCUGAUCCAGCAAUACCGCGUGGGUGAAGAAGGCCUUCGGGUUGUAAAGCCCUUUUGUUGGGAAAGAAAAGCAGCAGGUUAAUACCCCGCUGUUCUGACGGUACCCAAAGAAUAAGCACCGGCUAACUUCGCG